AACAAAGCACUUCUUUGUAAAAGCAAACAUUCGAAAUCCAAUUUGAUGUCAUAAUAAGCACUGUUUCUGUGUUAUUAUUGUGAUGCUUUUAAAACUAUUGGAUUUAAAACUAUUCAAGAGCCUUCACCAAACAACUUAAACCUUUGGAAAAGGUGGUCCUUGAUAGAAAAAAAAAUAUUGAACAUUUGCAAGAUACUAUACAAAUGCAUAAACCUGCAAAACAAUCUUUAAUCUCUCUAAAUAAAAAAACUUGAAUCUGGCAACAUGUUAACUUGCCUACUAACCCUCUUAAUGGUUAAUAUCUUAAAUUAAUAAAUCUUAGAUGCUCUCAACAUGAAUUAACAGCAUCUGAUGUUUAUUAAAUUAUAACUAAUAUAAUAAUCAGUGAUUUAAAAACUAAAAUUACGCAUGCAUAUUACACUUGAGCACAGUUUUAUCAUACAAUUGCAAUGGCUCGCUCUUUCGCCAACGCUAAGGUUCUUGAAUAAAAUAAAACAGACGUGGUUACGCGGCAGCAACAGAAAGUGCAAGCAAGGUGGGUUCAAUUAGUGGGAAGAUAACAGCACCAAAAUCAGGGGAAGCAAAAAAUAUUCCCACGGAUUAUUUUAAUAAAUAACUUUGCUUGAUUAAAAAAUUAUUUAAAUAAUUAAGCUUUAUUAAAAAAAUAAUUCAUUAAAAUAAUUCAAGCAAAAAAUCUAGAGUUAUAAACAUGGACAAUAAGUUUGUAAUUUGAAAAUCCAAAUUCCCAAAUUUCAAACCCUAAGAUUUCAAUCAUGUCAAAAUUCCCAAAUUGAAUCCUAAAAUAAAGACAAUAACCGAAUUUCAUCAUGAAUUAAACAUGGUAGACUCUGAUACCACUUGUUAACUAUCCAUGCCAAUUACAUGAUGAACAACCAAGGGCGGAAGCGUACCUGUGGGAAUUGCCAUUGAUGAAAUCCUGGGAUGAUGAUGAUAGAGCCAAUGGGUUGGGUGAUCUUCCUCCGCAAAACACCCUGAAGACCUUGCUCUCUUGAUGGGGAUAGAAAGAACCAGAGAGUUUUCUCCUUUAGGGUUUUGAAACUGAAUAGUCUUGUUGUGUUUGCCUUGGGGACCAUUACCCCUAUAUAUAACUAUUAUUAGUUAUAUCCCAAAUUGCAGUAUUUCC
rnacentral:lncRNA from 1 species